ensembl:rRNA 5S_rRNA 5S ribosomal RNA
GUCUAUGGCCAUACCACCCUGAACACGCCCGAUCUUGUCUGAUCUCGGAAGCUAAGUAGGGUCGGGCCUGGUUAGUACUUGGAUGGGAGAUAUCAAUGUGGGCUGUUCCACAUC